rnacentral:rRNA from 1 species
AGCGAACGCUGGCUGCAGGCUUAACACAUGCAAGUCGAGCGGGCACUUCGGUGUCAGCGGCAGACGGGUGAGUAACACGUGGGAACGUACCCUUCGGUUCGGAAUAACGCUGGGAAACUAGCGCUAAUACCGGAUACGCCCUUUUGGGGAAAGGUUUACUGCCGAAGGAUCGGCCCGCGUCUGAUUAGCUAGUUGGUGGGGUAAUGGCCUACCAAGGCGACGAUCAGUAGCUGGUCUGAGAGGAUGAUCAGCCACACUGGGACUGAGACACGGCCCAGACUCCUACGGGAGGCAGCAGUGGGGAAUAUUGGACAAUGGGCGCAAGCCUGAUCCAGCCAUGCCGCGUGAGUGAUGAAGGCCUUAGGGUUGUAAAGCUCUUUUGUCCGGGACGAUAAUGACGGUACCGGAAGAAUAAGCCCCGGCUAACUUCGUG